rnacentral:rRNA from 1 species
GAUGAACGCUGGCGGCGUGCCUAAUACAUGCAAGUCGAGCGAACGGACGAGAAGCUUGCUUUUCUGAUGUUAGCGGCGGACGGGUGAGUAACACGUGGAUAACCUACCUAUAAGACUGGGAUAACUUCGGGAAACCGGAGCUAAUACCGGAUAAUAUUUUGAACCGCAUGGUUCAAAAGUGAAAGACGGUCUUGCUUUCACUUAUAGAUGGAUCCGCGCUCCAUUGGCGAGUUGGUAAGGUAACGGCUUACCAAGGCAACGAUGCAGAGCCGACCUGAAAGGGUGAUCGGCCACACUGGAACUGAUGCACGGUCCAGACUCCUACGGGAGGCAGCAGUAGGGAAUCUUCCACAAUGGGCGAAAGCCUGACGGAGCAACGCCGCGUGAGUGAUGAAGGUCUUCGGAGCGUAAAACUCUGUGAUUAGGGAAGAACAUAUGUGUAAGUAACUGUGCACAACUUGACGGUACCUAAUCAGAAAGCCACGGCUAACUACGUG